CUUUCUAUGCUCCUUUCUAUGUGUUCUUCUGUCUCUGGUUUUACUGCUCCUAUAACUUCACAGAUGGCUGUCUCCUGUCUGACUACCUUCUCCCUGUGCCCCAACAGGAGAGCAGGACUCUGACUCAGCUUGGAAGGAGCUGUAGGGUGAAGCCACACCUUCUUUCAGCCUGACUUGGACGGGUGAGCUGAAGGGACAUCUCCGAGACCCUGCUGCUGCCAUCAUGAGCUCGAUAGACCUCUUUUACUGCUCAGGGCACCAGAGCAUGCUGUCUACUUCCUCCUCCACUGCCAUCCAGCAAGGGACUCAGAAGUGAGGCCAAGACAGCCCGCAGUGAGGGGAACAGCUGAUGGGGAUCCCCAAGAGAGUGAAACUGUUUUUCAAGUUGUUGUUGAACGUUCCCAGGUCACAGAAAAGAAACUGACGGUCUUACUCCGAAACUGGAAGAUGUUUGUGGUUAAGGCCGAUAUACCCAGGUAACAUGCAUGGGUUUACCAAGAAUGUGACUCAGAUCCCUCUGCCCCAGGCUAGGUUCCUCCUGGCAGGUACACCUCCUCCAGGCAGCAUCCUGUAGUUGGAGUCAAGGAUGUUCCUUCUCAAGAUCCCAAUAGCAGUGUUUCCUUUAUGGCAUUUGGUGGCAGUGAAUGGCCUUGUGUGGUGAAGAUAUGAAACCUGCUACAGGGGCAGGUUAUGUGACCUUGGUCAUGUGACUGAACUACUCUCUGCCUUAGUUUCUUCAUCUGUUCAGUUUUAUUGUGCAGACACUGAGAUCAUGCAUGCAAA
rnacentral:lncRNA from 1 species